GGGUGCUCAUGGUUUUUGAAUUUAAAACCCUUAUGUUGGUUCAUAGAGACAUACCAUCCAAAUAGCAUGACUGUCUUCAGUUGUUUUUCCAAUUUACAAAGCAGAGAUUAAUUCACAGUAUAACACAGUCAAAGUCAAAACGCCAAUCAAGACACAAAAAGAACAGGAUUCUUCUGCUCCUAGUUAUAGAAGCAGCCGAGUGAAGCAGUCACAACUGGAAUGGAACCCUCUGCAGUGUGGUUGGGUGAACACAUGGAGAGAGGAACACAGAUGCUGUGGAUCUGGGCUCCAGAUGUUCCAGGGGCUGUGACAACACUGUCUGAACCUCUGGGGCUCAGACUGCCUGAUAGGAGCUCCAAGAGGGGACUUCUACAGGCUUUGUCAACAAGCUGGAGCAGCUGAGAAGCACUGGGAAUUUGCUGUGGGAUGAAGGCUGGACAUGGUGAUCUCCCAUGUCUCAGCCUGAAGAUAGGCCACGUAUGAGAAGCUCCCUCUGGGAUGCACAUCUGAGAAGACUGGGCUUCUGCGUGUGUUUUUGCCCCUACAAAAGCAGCCCGAUUUCAUACAAAUUGAAAAGACCUUCGCACCGCCUUUGUCUCAAGUGAAAAAUGAGCCCCAUUUGAUGGCUGACCUUCCGAACAACUGCAGCUUCCACAGAAAUACACCAGCUCCGUGGGCCCACAGCUGUUGCCUUCUAAGAAUCAUUACUUGUGUGCUCAAGGGAAAACUCAUAGAACUGGUGAGACCGACUUGAUGGAACUCUCGAAAAUACAAUAAAACAAAAUGGAUGUAUAUAAA